rfam:Ictidomys tridecemlineatus contig045853, whole genome shotgun sequence.
GGGGUUGUGGCUCAGAGGUAGAGUGCUCACCUAGUAUGUGUGAGGCACUGGUUCAAUCCUCAACACCA